rnacentral:rRNA from 1 species
UACAGAGGGUGCGAGCGUUGUCCGGAAUCAUUGGGCGUAAAGCGCGUGUAGGCGGUUCGGUAAGUCUGCUGUGAAAGUCCAGGGCUCAACCCUGGGAUGCCGGUGGAUACUGUCGGACUAGAGUACGGAAGAGGCGAGUGGAAUUCCCGGUGUAGCGGUGAAAUGCGCAGAUAUCGGGAGGAACACCAAUUGCGAAGGCAGCUCGCUGGGACGUCACUGACGCUGAGACGCGAAAGCGUGGGGAGCAACAGG